UACGUAGGGGGCAAGCGUUGUCCGGAUUUAUUGGGCGUAAAGAGCGUGUAGGCGGCCUGAUAGGUCGGAUGUGAAAACUCGGGGCUCAACCCCGAGACGUCGGUUGAAACCAUCUGGCUAGAGUCCGGAAGAGGAGUGUGGAAUUCCCGGUGUAGCGGUGAAAUGCGCAGAUAUCGGGAAGAACACCCGUGGCGAAGGCGGCACGCUGGGACGGGACUGACGCUGAGACGCGAAAGCGUGGGGAGCGAACAGG
rnacentral:rRNA from 1 species